rnacentral:siRNA from 1 species
CAGUUUACAGGUGAUUGAUAUGCU